CCUACGGGGUGCAGCAGUGAGGAAUAUUGGUCAAUGGGAGAGAUCCUGAACCAGCCAAGCCGCGUGAGUGAGGAAGUAUUUCGGUAUGUAAAGCUCUAUCAGCAGGGAAGAAAAUGACGGUACCUGACUAAGAAGCCCCGGCUAACUACGUGCCAGCAGCCGCGGUAAUACGUAGGGGGCAAGCGUUAUCCGGAUUUACUGGGUGUAAAGGGAGCGUAGACGGCUAGUCAAGUCAGAAGUGAAAGCCCAGGGCUCAACCUUGGGACUGCUUUUGAAACUGAGUAGCUAGAGUGCAGGAGAGGUAAGCGGAAUUCCUAGUGUAGCGGUGAAAUGCGUAGAUAUUAGGAGGAACACCAGUGGCGAAGGCGGCUUACUGGACUGUAACUGACGUUGAGGCUCGAAAGCGUGGGGAGCAAACAGGAUUAGAUACCCCAGUAGUC
rnacentral:rRNA from 1 species